AGGAUUUAGCUCAAUGACGCAGCACAUGCUUGGCAAGCAUGAGGUCCUGAGUUCAAAUCCUAGUACUCCUA
rnacentral:tRNA from 1 species